GAUAUAGUCAAAAGGUAAAAUUUUUCUUUGCCAAGGAGAAAAUGCGGGUUUGAUUCCCGCUAUC
rnacentral:tRNA from 1 species